UCCCCCGCUUGAAAAGUGGGGGAUAUUAAUUUGGGUCUGUCCGUCCGUCCAUCCGUCUGUCCGUCCGUCCGUCUUUCUGUCUGUCUGUAACGCUUUCGUUUCCACACGAUAUCUCGAGAACCCUUCAAGCUUUCACAAUGAAAUUUUGCAUAGCAACUCCCUAUGGACUAAAGAAGAACCCUAUUGAUUUUGAGGUUAAAAGGACAAAGGUCAAGAACCCUUUGAGCUUUUGCAAUGAAAUUUUACAUAACAACUCCCUGUGGCCUAAGGAAGACCCCUAUUGAUUUUGAGGUCAAAAGGUCAAAGUUCGAGGUCGUAAAUUUAUACAUUCUGUCUGUGUGUAACACUAUCCUUUCUGGGCGAUAUUUCAAGAAUAUUUUCAGCUUUCGCAAUGUAAUUUUAUACCAAAACCCCCUAGGACCUCUCUCAUCCCUCUCAAAGUGACCCGCCCCGUUUGUUUUAUGAGUAUUUAUUGUAUUACAUGUCGCUAUAUUUAGCUCAGGAGCAUGAGGAGAGUUUUUACGUAUAAAAACAGGUUCUCGGCGGACUUUAUAUUCUUAUUUCAUCUAUUAGAACUGUUUAAUAAAGGUUAAAUUAGACACCAUGCAUUGUGUAAAAUUUUGACAAUAUCGAACGUGAAUAUAUACAUGUAUGUGACUUCAUCUUUGCAUAUCAUUUUUGAAUGUUGAAAGCGGUUUCGUGGUGUAGUGGUAUGUCUCUCGCUUUAUAUGUGAGAGGUCCCUGGUUCGAAUUCCGGACGAUCCAUUCUCUUUUUUUCCCC